GGGCCCAUAAUUUAAUGGUAGAAUGAUUUCUUGAUAUGGAAUAAGUAGGAGUUCAAUUCUCUUUGGGCCUA
rnacentral:tRNA from 1 species